CCACCUUUGACAUGUACGGAAUUUGCCAGAGAUGGCUUAGUGCUCGAAAGAGAGCCGUAACACAGGUGCUGCAUGGCUGUCGUCAGCUCGUGUCGUGAGAUGUUGGGUUAAGUCCCGCAACGAGCGCAACCCUUGUCAUUAGUUGCUACGAAAGGGCACUCUAAUGAGACUGCCGGUGACAAACCGGAGGAAGGUGGGGAUGACGUCAAGUCCUCAUGGCCCUUAUAGGUGGGGCUACACACGUCAUACAAUGGCCGGUACAAAGGGUUGCCAACCCGCGAGGGGGAGCCAAUCCCGUAAAGCCGGUCGUAGUCCGGAUCGCAGUCUGCAACUCGACUGCGUGAAGUCGGAAUCGCUAGUAAUCGUGGAUCAGCAUGUCACGGUGAAUACGUUCCC
rnacentral:rRNA from 1 species